AUUGAACGCUGGCGGCAGGCCUAACACAUGCAAGUCGAGCGGAUGAAGGGAGCUUGCUCCUGGAUUCAGCGGCGGACGGGUGAGUAAUGCCUAGGAAUCUGCCUGGUAGUGGGGUAUAACGUCCGGAAACGGGCGCUAAUACCGCAUACGUCCUGAGGGAGAAAGUUGGGGAUCUUCGGACCUCACGCUAUCAGAUGAGCCUAGGUCGGAUUAGCUAGUUGGUGGGGUAAAGGCCUACCAAGGCGACGAUCCGUAACUGGUCUGAGAGGAUGAUCAGUCACACUGGAACUGAGACACGGUCCAGACUCCUACGGGAGGCAGCAGUGGGGAAUAUUGGACAAUGGGCGAAAGCCUGAUCCAGCCAUGCCGCGUGUGUGAAGAAGGUCUUCGGAUUGUAAAGCACUUUAAGUUGGGAGGAAGGGCAGUAGGUUAAUACCUUGCUGUCUUGACGUUACCAACAGAAUAAGCACCGGCUAACUUCGUG
rnacentral:rRNA from 1 species